GCCCCAGUAGCUCAGGGGAUAGAGCACCGGCCUCCGGAGCCGGGUGCGCAGGUUCGAAUCCUGUCUGGGGCA
rnacentral:tRNA from 1 species